CUGACCUCGUGGUCCGCCCGCCUUGGCCUCCCAAAGUGCUGGGAUUACAGGCGUGAGCCACCGAGCCUGGCUGCCAUUUUUCUUAAAGUAAGACACAACGAAACAAUUUGUGAUAAUUUUACAGGAGUCCACCGUCAUAUGUGGUUUCACUUUCUGCAGCUUCAGUUACUUGAGGUCAACCUCAGUCUGCAAAUAGGUGAGUCCAGUCCAAUAAGAUAUUCUGAGAGAGUGAGCAAGCAAGCAUGUUCACAUACUCUUUUUUUUUUUUUUACAGUAUAGUGUUAUAAUUGUUCUAUUAUUAGUUAUUGUUAAUCCCUUACUAUCCCCAAUUUCUGAAUUAAACUUUAUCAUAGGUAUGUAUGUGUAGAAAAAAAUAGAAUACAUAGGGUUCUGUACUAUCUGUGAUUUCAGGCAUCUGCGAGGGGUCUUGGAAUGUAUCCUCCUUGAAUAAGGUGGGAUGACUGUAAUUGAUUCUUAAAUGAAUAGAUGAAAUCAAUUAUUUAGCUGACACUGUCUUUUCAGCAUUUGAAGAGGGCUUAUCAAACCCAGGCACUAAGGCAUUUCCUCAGCAGGACUGAAAAGUACACAUCUGUGAAGGCGAGGGUAGUUGAAGGAUAUUUAGGAGUAGGAGGAGGCAGAUGGGAUCAUUCUCGGAACAAAAAUGUUCUCAUCUCCUAGAUGGGUUUAGACUUUGUCUACACCAAGGUCACGCUGGGGAGAUGGGAUGUGUAAUGUGAUAUUUAUUUGGCAAUGUAUGUGGCCAGCCACAUACAUUGUGUGCUCAAUUCAGCUUACAAGUGCCGGCUCCCGGCUCUGAGGGCCCAUGUGCUUUGACUUGGUGGAAGGCUGCUCUGCCAGGGAUUACGCAUCCCUACCUCUGACCUGGUCAUUAUUCCUAAUUAUCAUCCAUUUAAAAUAGUCAGCAGGGCAAUAGCAUGUGCACAUCAAGGAUCACAAAAGGAACUUGGAUUAGGAGGAAUAAAAAAUCUGUCCCACAUGUGGCACUAUUAAAAAGCUCUGGCUGAGACAUGCUGUUUAUAGUCAGCAGUUGUCUGGAAAAUAGAUGUUUACUUGUAAUGCGUGUAUUAAGAUCUUUGCCAUUAGGCAAUAUAUAUCCUGCAUUGUGUCUUCUCUUACAUAAAACUCGACAUUGGGACAAACCUUUAAUUAGCAAUCCUGUGGCAACAAAAAGUAUUCAACACCAAUACUGUUAUAUGUUGGCAUUUCUGCUUAUUACAAAAAAGAUAGACAGAGAGCCAAAACCUGGAACUUUUCUUUGGAAGGAUGACUUAUUUUUUUUUUUUUUCUUUAAUGAAAUGCUCCAUUUAAAACUGUAAGUGAAAUAUUUGCUAAAUAAAGAUUAAAUUACUAACAGAAAAAAAUGUUCUCAAUAUUUGGCAAGAACUUAGACACCCUGGGUUUCCCUGACCCAUGCAUGCAUCUUCUGAUGAAAAGGUGUAUUAUAAUAUGCCUAGGUGCACUCUUUGAAUGAGGCUCUCUCAUCUAUCUAAUGAAUUUCUUUUGUUGGUGAUGAGACUAGAUUUUCUGCCUCAGAACAGGAACAUGGACAAUGCUUCUGGGACAGGGAGCAGGCACCACAAGACUUGUGUCUUAUUCUUGCUGUUGACACAAUAUACGUUUUUCUGCCUCUAUUGUCUUAGCAAACAGACUUGUUCCCCCAGAAUACCAUCCUAUUAAGGGAUGAUCCUACUUCUGUGAAGUUCUGAAUAACGUUACAUUCUAGUGCUAAAAUAAUGAAUUCACUUCAGACAAAUUUGGUCUAAGAUUAAGCAAGUGGACUCCACAGUCUGGGUGGCCCAUCCUCGGCCUGGGCACAUCCUUAGGCAGUGGGCAAUGUUUUGCUAGUCUUGGUCCUUGUAUAUAUAAAGCGGGACAAUAAUGCUUACUUCAUAGGUUUGUGGUGAAGACUACAUGACAAAUAAAAAAAAAUAUGUAAAGCCCUUAGCACAGAUUUUCACAGAUAGUUAUCAAUCAAUGUUAUAUGUUAGGUGCAGAGAGAUUCCCUAGUGCUUUUAAAACUUGAAUGAUGGCGGCUGGCAGAAGCAGCCACUGAUUUUCGCCCCCUCUGGCCCUUAGUAGGGGCCCAAUAGAUAUUUGAUGAAUAGGUGAAGGAAUAAAGGACUACCAGAACAAGCCCCUAAAUGUUAACUCCCAGCUCUACCAGUCUAAGCAACCAACUCAUUUAGUCAGAUCACACACUCCUCUUCAUCUUCUGUAUCUCUCAGUAGAACCCACCAUUGCAAUUAGAAACAGGAAAAAUGGUCACAUAUUCAUCUAGAACUCUCUUAAGCCAAAUCAACAAAUACUUAUUCAGGGCAACAGAGAUGAGCAGAGUGAGGUCAGGAAUGAUAAUUCUCAGCGUGGUUUCCAGAGCACGGCUCUGCAGAGAUAUACGACACAGUAAAAAUCUAGAACAGUGUUUUGUUUUCGUUAUUUAUUUUUAAUUUUAAAUGAUCUGAUGGCAUAAGAUGAAUCCUUACCCUCUUAUCCUGAUCUGCUAUUUCAUUCCCUGCCAAGCACCCAUUUCAUCAUAUAUGCUCACCUGGAACAUUCAAGCCUGCUGCCACAGUUAGAAAGAUUCCUUUCUCAGCUGGUGCCAAAGGGAUCUCAAAAUGGUUUUGAAUGCCUGUUAGAUUAACACCCCCCCCCCCUUUUUGGGUCCUCUUCUCUAUUCAUUCACUAAUAUGGGGAUUUGGAAUUUGAAGACAAUGUACUGCAUUAGGGCUACUGCAAUCUAUUUUUCAUUUUCAAAAUAGUGCAUCUUGCUUUCCCCCUUAUAGUAUUUCAUUGUUUGCUUGGUUUCACAGAUCUGUUUUGGUAAGAAAGUUUUGAGAAUAUCCUGGGAUUAUAGUCUUUGAAUGAACUUUCAUGCCCAUAGUAUAAGCCCCUUUGGUUUAAAACUAUCCCACUUAAAAGCAUCUACUUAUAACUACCAGCUGCUGGUUCUUUUCUGUUCCUACUCAUGAAUGCACACACAGACACAUACAGAUAUAUGUGCAUGCCUGGUUGCACGCGCACACACACACGCACACCCUCACAUGCACUGUUUAUAUGUAAACAUCCAGAAGAAACAAUGCAUUGUAAAAAUUGUCCUGUUGAGUUUGUAAUCGAGAGUGAGUUACUGAGUGCUGAUAAGUAAAGGAAGUGCAACCAGACAGUUUAAUCCUCCAAUUUCCUGUCUUCUAAUCAGCCCCUGACUCUUUUGGUUUUAAAUUAGAAACAUUCCUGUCAAUAUUCAGUACAGGUGAAGGAAAAUCAACUAGAAAAUAAGUAAGGACAAAGCAUUUAUUUCACUGUCUAAAGUUCACAGGGGAAAUAUGAGUGUAACAACAGGAAAUCAAGAUUUUAAAAAAGAUAGUAGAAGUACAUAGGCUUGCUUAAGUAACCAAUCACAAUUCUGAAUGAAGUACAUUUGGAUCAUAAUUUGAUUUAAAGAAAAAAGUAGGAACAUAGUUCAAUGUAUUUACUUCUCCCUAAAAAUAGUAAAUGGUACUUUAAAAGAUGUUGUACAAGGCUAACCUAAAAGAAAAUGAUAAGGAUAACUUCUUAAUAUAUGUGAGAGAGAAAAAAAACCCUACCCCAUUCAGAUUUUGCUUGCAAUCUGCUUAUACUGUGAGAAAAUAAUAUUGGAGUGUACAGAAAUCUUGUAAGUUAAUGCAUAUUCUUAGAUAUGAAUAUACUUACAUAUAUUUAUAAUGGUCGAUAAAAAUAAAAUUGUGCAUUUAGAAAUAAGCUCAGGUGGAGCCACUGUACUGCAAAUAUCUGCAAAAUAUCUGUGAAAAUACUUAAAAAUAGAGUUUGCAAAUGCAUUAAAUAGAAAGUGUAUAAAUAUGUUUACCAUGGACUCUUUAAAAAUAUGCUGAGUGCUGAGAAUAUGAUAUGCUUUAUAAUUUAUUGAAUCUCCUAAUUUUGAGUCUUUUUAUUUAUAGACUUUGUAGCAAUUUCCUAGUUUAUCAUAAAGGCAUAAGUGCAAAUUUAUAGACAAAUCUCCAUUAUGCAAUAUCUUCAAAGAAUUACAACAAACAAUCAUUAAGAAGAGUUGUUCAGCGGAGAAUAUUGAAAACUGAAAUGGUAAAUACAACAUAAUAUGUGAAUCCAACACAUCUUAACAACAACAAAAGAUUUCCAUGAAAUAUGAGUUCUUAAUUUUGUGUCUGCAGUAGUUAAAGCUGCCAAUCAUUUGGGAAGUAGGCUGGAGUUGAGUUUUUUUUUUUUUUUUUUGAAUUGUUGAACAUAGUAAGGCAGUAUUUCAUAGAAAUAUCUUGCUAUUUUUUACAUAUAUACUUUUAAAAGUAGGCAUUUAUACUACAAGGCACAGCAUAUUCUUUUUGCCCAAGUGUUUUCCUGGUAUGCAAAGUUUGAGUUGUACAAGUUUGAGUAAGUGACAGACAGUUCUUGAUUUUAAAAGUGUGUGUCAAAUUUUUUAAAGAAUGCUCCCAAAAUAAGUGCUUCAGGACCUAGCAUUGGGUGAGGGGGCUGUAGGAUAAUUUAGUUGCCUUCAUUUCACAGUCACUAUGAGUUUUUAAAUUGGAGGGCAGAAGCAAGACAAGUGCAUUUUGUAAUUCACAUAAAAAUAGUUCCAUAACACAUUGUUAUCAUUACGAAGAGGAGAAUGUUCAUUCUGCCUUCACUUUAUGCCAUAUGGGUAGAAUGGAGAUAAUUCUGCUGGACAGAAUUAUAUUUUGAAGCAAAUACAUGCUUGUAGGGUGCCUCCAUUUCAUUUGGAGCUGAGGAAAAUUUCAUGAGGGUUUUCUUUAGUUUUCUAUGGGAGAGUUUCUACCAGCGAUGUCACAACACAGCUAGAUUAAGUUGAUACGUAAUAUCUAUUUCUUGAUUUGCAUGAUUAAAGCAUUAGAGAAGUGGCUCAGAUAUCAAAAGGUUUCCCAUAAGUGGCAGCGCCAAAGGUAAUUACUGUUAAAAUGUACAUGCUCGAAACCUGGUUGCUUGUUAACUUCUAAGUUGUUUACAACUCUGUGGGUUUGAAUAAACGUUUUUAUUUGACUUUUCAAUAGCAAGACCCCUUUCUUGCUCCAUUUUGAUAUAAAAAAUGAUACCAUUCUUAUAUCCCAUGUCCCUCAAGGCAACCUUAGCUUCAACCAAAAAAAGUGAUAGAGGACAGAGAUGGCCCUUCUCAGUAUUUCAUAUUUUAAAAUAACUGUUUCUUAAACAAAAGUAGUCUUUUAAAGACAAAGUUAAAAUUUAUACCUAAAAAAAUUAAAAAUUAAUUGAGUCAACCAAUUAUUUCCAGUUAGUUAUCAAAAAGUGUAGCUAAAGCCCUACUGUAAGCCUGAGGGAGUUAUGAGGGGGGUGGGGAUAGAGAGGAAAAGAGAGAGGGAAGGAGAAGAGAGGUUGUUAUUCUCAGUCUUUUAUUAACCAGUUUCUUUCAUCCUAGUGUGUCUUUAUUAUUUAGAAAAAUAAAAAACAUCCAGAGCUCUACCCAUUCCCACCUAAAAUUCUGGAGUAGGUAGUGACUGUCUACAACCUGGUACAACAUAUGCCCCCAAACUAAAACAAACAAACUCAUUUGCCAUACAAAUUGUUUACGAUUCAUUAAAAAGCAAAAUUGCAUAUCCCGUCGCUGGCAGCUGAGGCCGUGUCUCCACGGGCGGAGGGGGCAUUCACUGAGUUGCCUUUGUAUGCUGGGAGGACCAAGCCGGAGGUUCCCACUAUGAGCCCGGAGUCUGUGCAGCCAGAUGACGCAUGAGCACUUUGAAUAUAUUCUCCUAUUUCCUGCUGGCCUGCAAGGUUUCUGCUGAGAAACCCAUUGAUAUUCUUAUGAAGAAUCCUUUUCAUGUGCCUCUGCCUCUGAAUGCGAAGGAAAACUGGACCAGCUCAGUGUGAAGCCUGUUGUCCCUCUCUCUUCAUGCUGAAGACUUAGUCAUAAUUCAAGGCCAAGCUCAAAUGCCCUCAUUUCCAUGAAGACUUCAUAGAUCCACCAAAAUUACAAUGAAACCCAUCCUGCUCAUGUGGACCCUUAACGCUGCACAUUUGCUUCUGAAAUGAGCUGAACCUGGGGGGUGGAUGUACUGUCUUCUCCCCUAGAAAUGGAAGUCCUGAAGUCAGGUAAAAAAUUUAUUAUAGUGAUAAAAAGAAGAUGUUGUACGAUAAAGGAUGUCAUCUUUCAAGAGUCAUUAUGACAAAUUAUUAACACUACAGUCACUGUGUGAGGUAAGUUUGCAACUCCUCUAAGGUUGCAUAGCUUUUAAGUGGCAGAGCCUGGAUUUGAACGAUGUUUAGUCUGAGCUGUUAACCAUGCCGCAUAACAUUGCCUCUACUGCCCAGUAGGGGGCACUCAUUAGCUUGCCCUUCAUUUGCCAAGUACCCUUGUGACCUUAGGCAAAUUAUUAAAUUUUCUUAAUUUUAUGUUUUGAAAGCUGUAAAUGUGUAGAUUGGACUUGAGUAGCUUAGGUCAGGGGUCAGCAAACUUUUCUAUAAAAAACCCGGUAGUAAAUAUUUUAGGCUUUGCAGACUAUGUGAUCUCUGUAACAACCAAAGCAGUCAUAGAAAAUAGUAAACAAAUGAGCAUGUCUGUAUUCAAUAAAACUUUGCUGACCAGGUGCAGUGGCUCACGCCUGUAAUCCUAGCACUUUAGG